GUAACUUAGUUGGUAAAGCGCUUGUCUAGCAUACAAGAGUCCUGGGUUCAAAUCCCAGC
rfam:Aedes aegypti strain Liverpool supercont1.96 genomic scaffold, whole genome shotgun sequence.